UGGGGGAUAUUGCACAAUGGGCGAAAGCCUGAUGCAGCGACGCCGCGUGGGGGAUGAAGGCCUUCGGGUUGUAAACUUCUUUUGCUCCGAACAAGGCAUGCUAAUGGGUGUGUUGAGCGUAGGGGUUGAUUAGCGUCGGCUAACUACGUGCCAGCAGCCGCGGUAAUACGUAGGGCGCGAGCGUUGUCCGGGAUUAUUGGGCGUAAAGGGCCUGUAGGUGCCUGGUUGCGCAUGCCGUGAAAGCUCAUGGCUUAACGGUGGGUUUGCGGUGGAUACGGGCUGACUUACGUGCCGUAGGGGAGGCUAGAAUUCCUGGUGUAGCGGUAAAAUGCGCAGAUAUCAGGAGGAAUACCGGUUGCGAAGGCGGGUCUCUGGGCUGUUACUGACACUGAGGAGCAAAAGCAUGGGGGGCGAACAGG
rnacentral:rRNA from 1 species